UUACACGCUCAUUAUCUAUCACUGUGCUUUCUCCAUGUAGAGACCUCAGCUUUAACAGCCUGACUGGCGAUAUUCCAAGCUCCUUUGAAAGCCUUGCAAGAAUGGAUUUCAUGUAGUUUUGCACUGAAGAAUCAAAUGCUGGAUGACAGAAUAUUCUCCAAAUUGCAUCUGAAUUUGCAACGCCUCCUGUAGGAAUUAGCUACAAUGGAUUUCCAAGAGGUUGUGCAGAUGACGAACUUCCUUGGGCAAAGGUUAGUUUACCCGUUUAACUUGAUGAUUUGUUCUUUCAUAGGUGUUCCCUAAUGUAUCCUUUUCUUUAUUUUCAUAUUUCAAAAAUCUAGGACUGGAGACCCAUUGGAGACAAUAUCCAUAAGUCAUACUAAUGCAUCUCCUUCAAAGUCCAUUCCUUAUUUCUAUCUCAUUGAUGUUGACAUGUUUCCUUUUCCCAUGACCCAUGGAAUUUAAUCUCUUCUCUAAUUGAUCCAUUGAAGAUGUCAUUUACGUGAACAUGUAGGUUGGCAAAUAAAUAAGCAGACCUUAUACACUUAUUUUGGAUUUAUGCGUCGGAUUAGCAUAAUAGACCACAUUUUGUUGCAUGACCUGUCUGUCAUUGCAUUGACCCUCUUCCAUAGUUCGAUGUUGGGGUUGAGCUCAUUGCUCAAUUGAUGGUGCUCUAAGCUUCACCCUUGAGGUCACAGGUUCAAUCCCAGCUUACCCAUGAAUAAGGCUUCUAUGUUAGAGAAGGUAACAAUGUAACAGAUGAACUGACUCUAACUGAAGUGGUUUUAACUGUUCCAUGAGAGGGUGAACUGCCAUGUCCUUCAGAUCAUUUUAACAUUAUCAUGUCAGUAUUAAUACCAAAUAUUGAAUUUGAUCUUGAUCUUUUCUAGCAUAUGGAAAUACCUUUUCACGACGAGAAUGAUACUAAUAACGAAGAAGAAGUGGAGGUUGCUGAUGAGUUUGACAACGACUUUGAUGAAGAUGCACUGUUGUGGACAAAGCAAUUUGCCACCCGCAAAACCACGACCACGACUUCUACAUGUGUUCACACGCAGAAAUGAUUAUAAGAUUUGAUAUGGAG